UACAAUGCUUCGGAAAUGAAGGGUCGAUUCCUGUAGGUAUUAAUUAAGAGCACGCCACAGUUAACAAUUCAUAAGAAACGGACGUGCAUAUUUGGGCGAUAAUCGUAGCGUCUGCUUGGACUGGAAGCAGGCUAGGCAUCGAUAAAUAGCUCUCUGUAGUCGUAUAGUAUAAGAUUAGUGUAACCGUGAGUCGCCUUCUCUAAAUCGAAUCCCUUGAACAAACGGGUGCACAUUAGGCAAGUGGCGACACCGGUCGCUUUAAAUUACUACUUGCAUAACUAGUUAGGUUACACCCGCCUUACUGCUGGAGAGCGGCUGAUUGGACAUUAGUCGUCGUAAACGGUUGUAUUUGAUUGGAGGAAGGGUAUGUUUUUACCGGAUACAUCAACGCGUACGUUCGUGGUGUCCUUGCCAUCUCGAAAAGAAAAAUAUAGCCGCCACCCCAAGACGGUGUAAAUAUUUGAUUGAAAACAGCCAUUAAGUGCAAGUUAUUUAUUUUUUCAGUGUCAGAAAACAAUUCAGCAAACAUAUGUCAAACCCUACAUGCCAGCCAGAUCCCUCCGUUCUGCUACCUCAGGACGCCUGGCACCUCCCCCUCUUCACACCUGCGCUUCCAGAACACGUCUCCUGUCUGUUCUGGCCCCACGAUGGUGGAAUGACCUCCCCGUGGAGGUCAGAACAGCUGAGACACUGACCCAUUUCAAGCGACGACUGAAGACUCACCUCUUCAGGCUGCACCUUUCCCCAUCCCUCCCUACCUCCCUGUAAUCUCUUAAAUGACUGUAAGCUUAGGGUUGUAACUAGGUAGCUGUUUCGUAGGUGACUUAGUUAAUGCACCUGUCUUAACUACUGCUUGUAUUUUUCCAUAGACUGCGUUGUUGCUGUUCUCGGUGGGUUAGUGUUAAUCAGUUUAACCUUCAGGGUCCAAGUUGAACUAUGCGGUUGUUCCCUGCACUUGGACCGGUACUUCUCUCUAGGGUUUUCGUCAUACGUGUUCCUGGUUAUGGUUAUACACUUUGUUGUACGUCGCUCUGGAUAAGAGCGUCUGCCAAAUGCCUGUAAUGUAAUGUAAUAUGUUUAACACAAACUUACACAAAAAACCUCAUCAACUAUGUACAUCAAAUCAUUCAGUAUUUAGAGUGUCCACCCUUUGCCUUUAUUACAGCUUCCAUUCUUUCGGGAGACUUACUUUGAGUUUUUCAAGGAAAUCUGGAGGAAUAUUUUUCCAUGCUUCUUGUAAACACCUCCAAGAAGUCUUAGAAGUUGGUUGCAUUUUCUGCUUUGCUCGGCCCAAGUAAUCACAAACACAUUCAGUGAUGUUGAGGUCUGGACUCUGGGGUGGUCAGUCCAUUGUUCUGAGAAUACAGCUUGAUCUUCUUGGCUGUGUGCUUGGGGUCAUUAUCUUGCUGUAGAAUAGAUUUUCUCGCAAUCAAACAUUGUCCAGAGGGUAUUGCAUGAUAUGUUAAGAUUUGUUUGUAUUUAUCAACAUUAAUGUUUUUCUCUUUUUUUAAUGUAAAGAUUCCAACAUAACGUCAUUGAAACGUUUGGUUUGUUGACUGGAAGGAUGGAAAAGCUGUUGUAGGGUGCCCAAAAGAAAAGUGGGCGAAUACAGAUAGAUUUGAUAUUAUACAGUAUGUAGUGGUGGAGGCUUUUCUGUAAUUUUAUGUUAAAUAUGUUAAUGUUUAGCAUUAUUGUUUGACACUGAAAUAAAACUGAAUGGCCAAUUUGCCUGGUAAUUGAAUAAAUGAAAGAGUGGUCUCUGACUUUUGCACGCAGUACACACACACAGACACACACACACAGAAAAAUAUCCAUCCUGGUCGAGGAAACACAUAUUACACCAUCAGCACAAUUUGUCUAAGUUUAUACAAUUGACAUUGUGAUGUACGACGCAGUAGCAUCUUGCCUGGUUCGAGGAAGUUGAUCCUGCUGGCUUUAAGCCCCAAAGCAAGUUUUUACAAUUCAUGUCACUGCACUGAUUUCAUUAAAGUGACUGUCAGAUCAGUUGAUUGAUCAGAUGAUACAAACUGUACUUUACAUUUAUGAUUGGCUUGAGAGAAUUGGGUUGAUUGCGAGGGCCAACAGGUUACCAUGGUAACGGGAUAUUCACUGCAGAUGUUUGCCUUGCCACUAUUAGGUUCUGUUCUGCUCUGUUCUGUGGCUCACUGAGCUGAGGUUUAUGCACUCUACACUUCAUCUUCCUAAUAAUGGGAAUUUGUCAUCCAUGUUAGGUGUUGUAUGAUGGCAUGUACCGUAUGCCAUAAAAUGCCUUCACACAA